GCAGACACAUUCCAGCCAAUCAGCAGCAGACCCUCCCUCCCAGACCCUCCCACCUCCUGGACAGCAUUCAUUUUUCAUUCAUUGUGAAGCUGCAUUCUUAGUGAGCUGUCCAGGAGGUGGGAGGGUCUGGGAGGGAGGGUCUGCUGCUGAUUGGCUGGAAUGUGUCUG
rnacentral:miRNA from 1 species